UCAUAUUAUUAUAAAUUUUAAUUUAUUUACGAAAAUAAUUAACUUUUACUUAGAAGCCAAAGACACAAUUUCCUAUUGACAUACACGUUUUUGUAAUUAUGUCGACUAUUAUUAUAUAUUUAUUUUAAAUAAAUUAAAAACAUAAUUUUUUACCUUUUUUAACUAAUAUAAAAAAUAUUUAGGUGUAUAAUAUUUUUUCUUCGUCAUAUUUUUUAAUUCAGUUCAGUCUAUACUGGAUACUGGCAGACUCCGUUGCAAUUCUUAGGAACUACUCCUGGUUGUAGUUUGCAUACCUUGUUGCCGCAUAUAUACUCUCCCUUCCUAAGAUUUAAGGAUGGUACGUGAUGGUUGCCUUUACCUAUACUGUUAGUUGCGUUAACUAAUAAAAGGUAAUAAGCUAAGACAGAUGGAAAUAUUUUGGUUAAAAUUUGGAACAGCCCGACUGGGGAAAUAUCUCAACCUUAGAAAAGGUCACACCUAAAUAGCAUUACCCUCAAGUAUUUUUGUGUUCCUGUGGUGAGUAAGGUCACCAGAGAUCCUAGGGAGGGUCGGGGGUUAGAGUCAGCAACGCAUGCGAUGUUUCUC
rnacentral:misc_RNA from 1 species